rfam:Arthrobacter sp. Hiyo8 DNA, complete genome, strain: Hiyo8.
CUACGACCACACGGGGGCCCUUGCAAGGGCUGAGAUCGGGCUGAUGCAGCCUGCGACCGUUGAACCUGUCCGGGUAAUGCCGGCGAAGGAAGUGAGUAAUCCUUUGAG